rnacentral:tRNA from 1 species
AGGGGAGGUCCUACCAACAAGAACUGCUAACUCCUGCAUCUGGGUCUAAACCCCCAGUCCCCUUA